AUUGAACGCUGGCGGCAGGCCUAACACAUGCAAGUCGAACGCGUGGCGGACGUGUGAGUAAUGUCUGGGAAACUGACUGAUGGAGGGGGAUAACUACUGGACCCGGUCGCUAAUACCGCAUACCCUCAGAUGUGCCCAAAUGGGAUUAGCUUGUUGGUGGGGUAACGUCUAACCAAGGCGACGAUCCAUAGCUGGUCUGAGAGGAGGACCAGCCACACUGGAACUGAGACACGGUCCAGACGCCUACGGGAGGCAGCAGUGGUGAAUAUUGCACAAUGGGCGAAAGCCUGAUGCAGCCAUGCCGCGUGUAUGAAGAAGGCCGUCGGGUUGUAAAGUACUUUCAGCGGGGAGGCGUUACCCGCAGAAGAAGCACCGGCUAACUCCGUGCCAGCAGCCGCGGUAAUUC
rnacentral:rRNA from 1 species